AGCAGUCGCCGCGGUAAUGCGAAGGGGGCUAGCGUUGUUCGGAUUUACUGGGCGUAAAGCGCACGUAGGCGGACUUUUAAGUCAGGAGUGAAAUCCCGGGCUCAACCCCGGAACUGCCUUUGAUACUGGGAGUCUUGAGUUCGAGAGAGGUGAGUGGAAUUGCGAGUGUAGAGGUGAAAUUCGUAGAUAUUCGCAGGAACACCAGUGGCGAAGGCGGCUCACUGGCUCGAUACUGACGCUCAUGCACGAAAGCGUGGGGAGCAAACAGGAUUAGAGACCCCUGUAGUCCCUGUCUCUUAUACC
rnacentral:rRNA from 1 species